CAAUACAUGUUAGGCAGCACUUAUGACUUAUCCAACCCACCGCCACAAUUUCUUUUUCUUUGAAGGAGCUUUCUUUGGUGGGAAAAGAAUAAUCUGGACCUUAAAAGGAUCAGGUUAUAAAUUCAAAUAAUAAAAAAUGCAUGGAUUGGUUCACAAAUAAAGCAGAAUAACGGUUGAGAGGAAUUUAAAAAAAAUUCAGAAUUUUUUAUUACAAGAAAGCACCAACGUCGCAUCACGGUGGAGGAGAUCCGUUCGGUGUCUUCGCUGCAUCGUCUUCCCCGGCAAGUUGGGCGUGGACUCAGUGCCGCUGGCUGAGGAGAUCUGAGAGAAGAGCAAAACAGAGAUUCAGAGAGGAGAGAGAGCUCGCCUCGCCGUCGUCGUUGCCGUCGCCACCGCAGUUCAUCGCCUCUCCAGAUCUGGUCGCAACGCCCAAGCCUCUGAGGAUGUUCCAUUACUACGUCCUCGACGAGACGCAGAACAAGCUCGAUUACAUCCUCUCUCUCUCUCACUGUUGAGAACUUCCAUUACGACCUCCUUCGUGAUUCACCUCACUCACUCAGAAUCGCACGUUCAAAAAUUACCCAAAUCAAAACCCUAGCUUCUUCAACGGUUCUGCCGCCGCUGUCCGUGGUUGUCGGCGCCUCCACUCCUUCCUCCUUCCCCCUGUACCGAACUCAUCCUCUUCUAGAUCGGCACGUCGUCCCCAAUCCCCAUCUCCCGUGGCUUCUCUGUUUGAGGAUUCAAGCUGCUCGCCGUCAUGUGGUUCGUUUCGCCACUCGCCCUCGUCUCUUCGUCGUCCUGCUGUCCAUCAAAGCAAUUGGUCAGACGUGAUAAUUUUCAAUCUUGCCAGCAUGCAUUAUUGGUCCCAAAGGAGGAAGACUACAUUGAAUGGUUUAAAAAUGCUGGCUUCAAAGACGUUAAGCUCAAAAGGAUAGGUCCAAAGUGGUACCAUGGUGGCUUCAAAGUCCGGCAUGGCCAAGUUCAUCCAUCAGUGCAUAUUAGCUUUUUCACAGGCCACAGAGGAGGUUCAUUGAGCUGGAGGCUCAUAGUUGUACUAAAGAUACUGAAUUAGACAUGCUUUGGACAUCUCACAUGUUUACUCAGAUUGAGAAUUGCUAGUGAAAAUGAAAUCAGUAAACCUUGUCCCCAACCUGAUUUAUUCAGAUUAGAGCAUUCAUUCAAGUCUUGUGUGCUGUGUUUUGAUUCUUCCAUAUUCAAUAACCUCUCUGAUUUGAACUUGGUAAUUGUGAAAAAGGGUGACAAUGAUUUAUCAGCCAUUUCCCCCAUUGAUACUUGCUUUUCUAAAUUCAUCUAAAAUGUGAGGCAAUCGAUUGUACAAGACUGCUAUCACCUUGCAAUUGGGAUGUUUAUUCAGAAGGUUUUUUGUCAACUAUGUUUUCUGGAUUAAGUGUGCUAACCAUAAGAACAGCUUCAUUUGAGCUUUGGCACUAUCUAAUAUGUCAUUAGUAGUUCAUGGUGUUGUGCACAUUGGAAGAGACUCCCUUUUGACAUCUUCUAGUCUUUGGCUCUUUGCUGUGCAGCUUCAACACCAUGCUUGGCAUCGCCUUCCAACAUUUCAGUUGAUCUUUGUACAUGUAAUUGAAUCACUGGUUUUUGUUCCUAUUAUGAUUGGUGUUCUGUUCUUUCUCUUAGUUUUAUGAUGACCAGCUGCUUGCCUUCAUGGUCUUGAUUCUUGUCUGGUUGUGCGAACUCUUUACUCUCAUUAGUGUCCGAACGCCAAUUUCAAUGAAGUUCUUCCCUCAUUUCUUUUUAUUGUAUUUUCUGGUCUUUCACAUAUAUUUCUUCUCUUAUUCAUAUGGUUUUUCAUAUUUGGCUCUAUCUACUACAGCAGCUUUUAUUCAACAUCUUAUCUUAUACUUUUGGAAUCGUUUUGAGGUAAGAAAUGAUAAAGGUUGGAAAAAGCUACAAUCUGGAAAGAGGCCUUUCCUUACCGGGUGACUCAAUAUGCAACAAUAGGGAAGAAAGAAGAAGGGAUGAGGUUGUGGAAUAUUUAUAAGAUGGAUGGAAAAUUACUUAAAAAAGACUAUUGUUCAGUUGUAAUAAGUUCAUUUCUCAAGUUGUAUCUUAAAAGCACAUUCACUUGAACUUAAAAGCACAUUCACUUGAAGUAAGAAAUAGAAAUUGUAGCUUUUGCGUACUUAACGUGUGUUUAGGUUU